GACGAACGCUGGCGGCGUGCUUAACACAUGCAAGUCGAACGAUGAAGAAGAGAAACGCGAACUUCGGUUCAAAUUUCACUUCGGAUUAGUGGCAGACGGGUGAGUAACGCGUGAGCAACCUACCUCUUACAAAGGGAUAGCCUCGGGAAACCGUGAUUAAUACCAUAUGACACAUUCAUAAGGCAUCUUAAGAAUGUUAAAGCUACGGCGGUAAGAGAUGGGCUCGCGUCCCAUUAGCUAGUUGGUGAGGUAACGGCCCACCAAGGCGACGAUGGGUAACCGGCCUGAGAGGGUGAACGGUCACAUUGGAACUGAGACACGGUCCAAACUCCUACGGGAGGCAGCAGUGGGGAAUAUUGCACAAUGGAGGGAACUCUGAUGCAGCGACGCCGCGUGAGCGAUGAAGGAAUUCGGUUCGUAAAGCUCUGUUCUAUGGGAAGAAAAGGACUGUACCAUAGGAGAAAGCCCCGGCUAAAUACGU
rnacentral:rRNA from 1 species